AUUUUGGAAUGAACUGCCACAUUUUGGUUACUGAACUUCCAGUAACUACAAACCAGUACCUACAAUUCUAGUGAUUACAUUCCUAUGCAUAACUUUUAGAAUCUGACAGUUCAUUCCUUAAUUGAUUAACUGUCACUACCACGAACCGUAACUUUCAGGCUUUCAGGCGGUGAGAGAAUGUACCAAAUAACUUCUAAGUAGUUCAAUCUCAAACAAAAUUCGG
rnacentral:lncRNA from 1 species